rnacentral:rRNA from 1 species
UACGGAGGGUGCAAACGUUGCUCGGAAUCAUUGGGCGUAAAGGGUGCGUAGGCGGGUCUUUAAGUCAGGGUGAAAUUCCCGGCUUAACCUGGGGCUGCGUUUGAUACGUGCGGGCUUGAGUUCGGAAGAGGGUCGUGGAAUUCCCAGUGUAGAGGUGAAAUUCGUAGAUAUUGGGAAGAACACCGGUGGCGAAGGCGGCGACCUGGUCCGAUACUGACGCUGAGGCGCGAAAGCGUGGGGAGCAAACAGG